GCUGCUGCCACCGACAGGGACAUGGACCCUAUGCGGGCUAACCGCCGGCGGAGAGCUCCGCGACGCCACGCCGCGGGCUCAGGCGUACGAGGCCGGUCGCGCCUGAGCCCGCGGCGAGCUCUCCGCCGGCCGCACCACCUCGCCUCGCCUCUCCCCGACGCCACCGUCCAGCCACCGAGUCAAGGCGUCUACUAUGUAUCCUUGGCUGCUAUCUCGCCUGCGAGCUUCCUCCAUCUGAAGGCCUACGAGCUUCCUCCAUCUGAAGGAACCUGAUCCUGAUGAUGACCAGAGAAGGAUGUAUGUGAGAGGUACCGGUGUUAGCUCAUAAGUAUAUCAGAAGAUAAACAUCCAUUGUAUAAUUAUUCAGUUAUACUGUUAAUCCAUGCCUCAACAAUUGACUAGAUAAAACGAGAGGAUGAACAUUGGACUUUCCUCAUGAUUGGGUUCCUGGGAGGAGCAUUAGGCAAUCGACCAACCCACCUGUCAUCAUGACAAAAGCUAAAAAGUGAAUGUUGUUAAAUUGGUUAAAAUCAAACCACUGAGGUUUGCAUCGAAUGUUGUUAAAUUGGUUUCGUCAACCAUCCAACUUGUACCCAAAGGAUGUCAUUUUUUAGGUUAGUUGACUAACCCCUCUUUUUAUAAUGGUCCAGCAAAUUAAGAGGAAAGAGGAAAAAUGUAUGACACAAGAAGAGAUACUUUUAGAAGUAGCUGAAACAGGUAUCAUUUGUUUCUCUUUCUAACUUUGCACAAAGGAUUUUUUGUGAAGAAAUGAUUUAAAUGUGCCAGUGUUGAUUAAAUAUUUGUUAUUAUCUUUAGCUAUAUUUUGAGAGAUCAUGAACAUGAGAAGGAAGUGAAGAAAAUGUUUAUUGUUUAGAAAGAUGUUUUUGGGGAUUCUACUAUUAUAUUCUUCUCGAUUCUUGAGAAAUGGUAACUUCUCCAUACCUAAAUAGUGAAUUUAGCAGCUAUUCUCUUUGUACUUAUCAGCCAGUGAAUUAGGGGAAUCGCAUCUUGAAUUUACUAAUGGGGCAUCAUUUUGUUCCUGCCGUCUACAUUGAUGUUUUCUCUGCUAAAGUGACAACCAACUUUCCAAGUUCAAGUCAGAUGACACGAAGAGCGGGAGAAGUUUAUGAUGGUUCUUCAUAUGAAUACUUAUGAUUGCCAUUUUUGUGGAUUUGGAUACUUACCAUUGCCUUUUGUUGAGGAUUUUGUAAUCCUGUUCGUCAACAUAAUGGCAUGGUUCUUGCCGUCUACAUUGAUGUUUUCUCUGGUAAAGUGACAACCAACUUUCCAAGUUCAAGUCAGAUGACACGAAGAGGGGUUAGAAGAUUAUGAUGGUUCUUCAUGUAUGUGCCAUUUAGGUUAUAUUUGAAAAUACUUCCAAUGUUGUUUUCAAUGUAGUGAACUACUGUAUCUAUUUUAUUGGCAGAUGAAUACUUAUGAUUGCCUUUUUUGUGGAUUUUGGAUACUUAUGAUUGCCUUUUGUUGAGGAUUUUGUAAUCCUGUUCGUCGACAUAAUGGGUUAGUUGUCUACUAGAGAUAGGUUUUGCUAAAUAUUUGCGCAUGUUUGCUGACAUUGGUCACCACACUGAUGUUAGUGGACAGACCUUAAUAGGAAACUAUAAAUGAUUCUUCAAAAUUUAUUAGUACAGUAUUUUCUUAUUUGCUUACACUUCCAUUUUCCUCACUGGAUCGUAGUUACGUGGUACUAUUGCGUGUUAUCUUUUUCUUUCUACAUACCUGCAGAUGCGAUGUGCCUUGGAAAUGUUGUCAUGACUAUUUCCCUGAUACUGUUGGAUCCAAGGGGGGAGCAGUCCAAGUACACAAAAAGAGGUAUAAGGCCCGUAAGAGGUUGUGAUACUAGCACACACAUUUAGAACACCUCUAUAUUAGGAGGUAUUCGUAUUUUGUGCCCCAUGGCGUUAUUGGGUCAAUGGAAGGUAAGCAUGCUUAUGUGGGUGAUUCUGAAAAAAUGUAAAAUCUCCGGGGUUACAAUUAUUUAGUACUCCCUCUGCCUCAAAAUAGAGUCAUAUAAUGUCUUAUAUUUUGAGACAAAGGGGAGUAGAUUUUUAGCGUUUUCUAUCCAGUUAAAGGCUUGAGUCUGCAAUCUUGGAGGCAAUCUUGGUAGGCUUACAGAUUAACUAGGUAUUCCUUUCAGUUACUAUUUACAGUUAUUGACAUCACUCUUUGGAAUAACUAAUAAGCACGAAAUUUGCAAUGGCUAGACCGAGAAUUAAAACAUGUCCUAUUGUCCUUGAUUUGGCUUCUUCCUUUUUCUCUUUUGUAGUACACAACUGUAAUUAUACAUGGCAACUGCAAAAGUAUUCAUUUUCCUUUGAAACUUAUAAUUUUCUUUUAAGAAAUUAGUAGUUUUUUUUGCGGGUGAAGAAAUUAGUAGUUGAUGAAGCAACAAAGUUGGUGUUGGUCUCUAGAGCCCUGCAAAUUAUUUGAAGUACGAAAUGUACUCCAGUAGAAACACAAAAAUGGAUUAGAGCUUAUACACAUUGUAAGGGAAGUUUUAAUUUCAUUCAGCUGGUAUGCAGGUAUGAUUCAGAAAGGAAACAAUGACUCAAGCAUUUCUUCUCUCCAGCCUCAUGUGCUCCUUUUGGUUCAGCUCAAGAUUUUAGUUGCAAGGUUCUACAAUAAAAGUGAAGUAAUUAAAGAAACUAUUUGUGAGGUGGACAUGCUCAUCUUAUUAUCAUUCUAUCGUUGUGAAUGCUCAUCUGCAAAUCCAUACCUCAACACCUUGCGCGCCACCACCCCUUCUUUUACCAUCCGCCUUCCACCUUCCGGCCAAUUUCAGUGAUGUUUAUCCCAACCACCACAGCUUCAACAAUAUCAGGAACAUGAGAAAAGCUAAGAUAUGAUUUAUUCCUAAAGCAAACCCUACACCUAUACAUAU